UUACGGUCAAAUCACGCUGAAACACCGGUUCUCGUUCGAUCACCGAAGUUAAGCAUCGUAGAGCCAGGUCAGUACUUAGAUGGGCGACCGCUUGGGAACACCUGGUACUGUAAG